rnacentral:tRNA from 1 species
GCCUGGGUGGCUCAGUCGGUUGAGCAUCUGACUUCAGCUCAGGUCAUGAUCUCACAGUUUGUGAGUUCAAGCCCUGUGUCAGGCU